rnacentral:rRNA from 1 species
UACGAAGGGGCUAGCGUUGUUCGGAAUUACUGGGCGUAAAGCGCACGUAGGCGGAUACUUAAGUCAGGGGUGAAAUCCCGGGGCUCAACCCCGGAACUGCCUUUGAUACUGGGUAUCUCGAGUCCGGAAGAGGUGAGUGGAAUUCCGAGUGUAGAGGUGAAAUUCGUAGAUAUUCGGAGGAACACCAGUGGCGAAGGCGGCUCACUGGUCCGGUACUGACGCUGAGGUGCGAAAGCGUGGGGAGCAAACAGGG